GCAAUGGCCGACUAGGGUUCCGGCUCGCCAAGCCCGGCGAGCGACUGGUCCGAGAGUGGGCGACCUCGACAGGGGUUACACGGCGGGACAAAAGCCCGGGAGAA
rnacentral:sRNA from 2 species